GCUCGCCCCGGUGAACAUUCAACGCUGUCGGUGAGUUUGAGCCAAAUUGGAAAAACCAUCGACCGUUGAUUGUACCCCGUGGC
ensembl:miRNA tni-mir-181a-1 tni-mir-181a-1